rnacentral:rRNA from 1 species
UACGUAGGUGGCAAGCGUUAUCCGGAAUUAUUGGGCGUAAAGAGCGCGCAGGUGGUUGAUUAAGUCUGAUGUGAAAGCCCACGGCUCAACCGUGGAAGGUCAUUUGAAACUGGGUCACUUGAAUAUAGAAGAGGAAAGUGGAAUUCCAUGUGUAGCGGUGAAAUGCGUAGAUAUAUGGAGGAACACCAGUGGCGAAGGCGACUUUCUGGUCUAUUAUUGACGCUGAGGCUCGAAAGCAUGGGUAGCGAACAGGAUUAGA